rnacentral:rRNA from 1 species
CCUACGGGAGGCAGCAGUGAGGAAUAUUGCACAAUGGGGGAAACCCUGAUGCAGCGACGCCGCGUGAGUGAAGAAGUAAUUCGUUAUGUAAAGCUCUAUCAGCAGGGAAGAAAAUUACGGUACCUGAGUAACAAGCCCCGGCUAACUACGUGCCAGCAGCCGCGGUAAUACGUAGGGGGCAAGCGUUAUCCGGAUUCACUGGGUGUAAAGGGAGCGUAGACGGCCAUGCAAGCCAGGCGUGAAAGCCCGGGGCCCAACCCCGGGACUGCCCUUGAAACUGCAUGGCUGGAGUGCGGGAGGGGCAGGCGGAAUGCGUGGUGUAGCGGUGAAAUGCGUAGAUAUCAGGAAGAACACCGGCGGCGAAGGCGGCCUGCUGGACUGCGACUGACGUUGAGGCACGAAAGCGUGGGGAGCGAACAGGAUUAGAUACCCCAGUAGUC